CCAGCAGAGCAGAACUGCCUCAGCCAUCAAUAAUAAUUCAACACAUUAGGAUGAGGCCUACAUACACAGCCCACAGAGCCACCAUUUGGCACAGCAUUUCUGAUUGUCUGUUUAUGGAAUCCGAAUACUGAAGCUGUUUCAAAUUGUCUUUCACAGAUGUUGGGAAAAGGAGAGAAGUGAAAAAAGUCCCAACUGUAUGAUGGCAUUUCCAGCAAUAUGGUAAGAUCAUCGACGAAAACUGCAAUGUCAUCCGCGAAUGCCUUAUUAUUGUUAUUAAAACCUUUAUGUUGUAAACCUUCCAACCACUUUGAUUCUGUAAUCUUUUAAAAUAAGAUCUCAAUUGUCAAAAUAAAUAAAAGAGGGGAACGGGGACAACUCUGUCUUGUUCUUCUUUUUGUUUUCA